UCUAAGGAUGAGUGAAAGUAAAAUUUCACUCUAAAUAAUAUACAUCGGUAAUGUUGACCGUCCUCAUUUCUCUUCUUAAAGUAAUGUUUCCUUCUUGUAGGGCCGGUAGCUCAGUUGGUUAGAGCACACCCUUGAUAAGGGUGGGGUCGAAAGUUCGAGUCUUUCUCGGCCCACCAAAAACCUAAAUGGGGGAUUAGCUCAUCUGGGAGAGCGCCUGAUUUGCAUUCAGGAGGUAGCAGGUUCGAUCCCUGUAUCCUCCACCAGGAAACAUUUAGUUAUUAAAACUGUAAAUAAAAAUAAUUUAUAUCAAUAUCUAUAUCCGAACAUUAAAAGGUUAUUAUUUAAUGUUCAAAAUAAAAAUUUGAUCACAACAUAGAUAAAUUUUCUUUUAAAAGAAUUUUUUUCUG
rnacentral:tRNA from 1 species